rnacentral:pre_miRNA from 1 species
GAUGAAUCAACAGUAUAAAAACGGAGUACAACAAAUAUUCGUAUUAUGCUGUUAUUCAUGAG